UAGCCGAAGCCAUGGCGGGACAUGGCGAC
rnacentral:sRNA from 1 species